rnacentral:tRNA from 1 species
UCCCCACUGGCUCAGUGAUAAAGAAUCUGCCUGCAAUGCAGGAGACAGAGGUUCAAUCCCUGGGUUGGGAA